rnacentral:lncRNA from 1 species
AAAGCUUUCCUAAUACAGGGAUGCUGUGGUGUCCAGCACAGUGUGCCAUCUAUAGUGGGGGCUUAACCUGAGUACAAUAGAGAAAAGCUCUGGAGUUGGAGUGAGAAGACAAGCAAAGCUGCUUCUUGUCUUACCAGCGUAUGAGCUCCAGUAAGUUACAUAACCUUCCUAACCGAUUUUCCUCUUCUGCAAAUGAGAGGAAUGAUGCCAGCUUCACAGGGAUGAUGGAAAGAAUAAAUUAAGCCCCAGGCUCAGCAUAUUCUUCGCUGGACAGAUGCUCAGAAGAUGCUGGACAGAACCUGUGGAAAUGAAUUUAGAAGAACAAAGGUUCAUGAAAGCUAACCUUUCUCCAGCUCAGCUCAACCUCAGUGCUCCCCUGCCUACCCAGUCCUGUUGGCUUUGGAAUAAAUCACUUCCACCUAAAUACAGAGAGAGAGAUGAUGGAAACAGAAGGAAAGGAAUUCAGCCAAGGCCGCCCAGGCAAUUGGAGGCAGAGACAAGAUUCAAACUCAGGACCUACAUGAUUCACGAAGCACAAUUCCUGCAUGUAUACGAUGUCCUGGAACAACAGACAACUGCCAACGCAGCAGAAACUCCAGGAAAUUCAGAAGCAGGGGAGCUGCCCAAAGAUAGGUGGACGGUGUUCAUAGACUCAGCUUUGGGGAGCCACUGA